AAGCCAGCCAAUACCUCUGCUUACCUGAAUGUGUUUCUGCAGAAAUUUUGAAAAGGCUGGCAAUAGUAGUUAAGGACACUGAAGUGAUUAAGGUCUCUGAAAAUGGCUACAGCA
rnacentral:snoRNA from 1 species